GCGGGAAGAGCUCAAAUUUAUAAUCUGGCACCUUCGGUGUCCGAGUUGUAAUCUCUAGAAAUGUUUUCCGCGUUGGACCGCACACAAGUCUGUUGGAAUACAGCGGCAUAGUGGUGAGACCCCCGUAUAUGGUGCGGACGCCCAGCGCUUUGUGAUACAUUUUCGAAGAGUCGAGUUGUUUGGGAAUGCAGCUCAAAUUGGGUGGUAAAUUCCAUCUAAAGCUAAAUAUUGGCGAGAGACCGAUAGCGAACAAGUACCGUGAGGGAAAGAUGAAAAGCACUUUGGAAAGAGAGUUAACAGUACGUGAAAUUGUUGGAAGGGAAACGCUUGAAGUCAGACUUGCUUGCCGAGCAAUCGGUUUGCAGGCCAGCAUCAGUUUUCCGGGAUGGAUAAUGGUAGAGAGAAGGUAGCAGUUUCGGCUGUGUUAUAGCUCUCUGCUGGAUACAUCUUGGGGGACUGAGGAACGCAGUGUGCCUUUGGCGGGGGUUUCGACCUCUUCACACUUAGGAUGCUGGUGGAAUGGCUUUAAACGACCCGUCUUGAA
rnacentral:rRNA from 1 species